AAGAAAUUAAUAUAAGUACAAGUAUAUAAAAUUGCAAGUUUUAAGGUAAUUUUCUUU
rnacentral:tRNA from 1 species